UACGUAGGGUCCGAGCGUUGUCCGGUAUUAUUGGGCGUAAAGGGCUCGUAGGCGGUCUGUUGCGUCGGGAGUGAAAUCUUACAGCUUAACUGUGAACUUGCUUUCGAUACGGGCAGACUUGAGGUAUUCAGGGGAGAACGGAAUUCCUGGUGUAGCGGUGAAAUGCGCAGAUAUCGGGAGGAACACCUAUGGCGAAGGCAGCUCGCUGGGACGUUACUGACGCUGAGACGCGAAAGCGUGGGGAGCAAACAGG
rnacentral:rRNA from 1 species